rnacentral:rRNA from 1 species
UAGGGAAUCUUCCGCAAUGGGCGCAAGCCUGACGGAGCAACGCCGCGUGAGUGAUGAAGGUCUUCGGAUCGUAAAACUCUGUUAUUAGGAAAGAACAAAUGUGUAAGUAACUAUGCACGUCUUGACGGUACCUAAUCAGAAAGCCACGGCUAACUACGUGCCAGCAGCCGCGGUAAUACGUAGGUGGCAAGCGUUAUCCGGAAUUAUUGGGCGUAAAGCGCGCGUAGGCGGUUUUUUAAGUCUGAUGUGAAAGCCCACGGCUCAACCGUGGAGGGUCAUUGGAAACUGGAAAACUUGAGUGCAGAAGAGGAAAGUGGAAUUCCAUGUGUAGCGGUGAAAUGCGCAGAGAUAUGGAGGAACACCAGUGGAGAAGGCGACUUUCUGGUCUGUAACUGACGCUGAUGUGCGAAAGCGUGGGGAUCAAACAGG